UCAAGGGUUCAUGAAGGUUGAUUGGAAAGACAUUCUCCAGGGGGAUUUAUCCUGUUGAUUGUUCGCUGAACUCUAUUUCCUCAACUCCAGCAGUAGCAGGUUGCUCUGACUGCUCGGAUGCCGCUGAAGAGGGUUGCCUUACCCCAGGACCUGAAGACACCUUGACCAUAGCUGGUCUUAAAAGUCGGUCCACAAGGAGAAAACCACGACGGAACUCUUCAAUUAUAACACCCUCCUUGAACUCUUCAGACUCCUCUUGGGCAAUAGCCUCGUGUAACUGAAUCACGAGAAAGAAUGCACAUGGUAAGUCACAUCACAAAAGAUGUAGUACUGCAUUUUCAUAGCAAGGAAACACUUAGUUCAACUAUCCCCAGCCAAUCAUGAUUUUAGUUUAACCUAGCUCAUCAACUUCCACGUAUACAAAGCAACUAGCACGUCAAUAGAUUUGCAGAUGCUAGCUUUCAACCAAAUGAAAGGGUCAAAAGAUCAAAGAGAGAUUUAUCCUGGAAAACAUAGCCUCAAAGUAGAGGCACCCCAGAUUUAAUUUAGCAGUAAACCAACAUGACAGAUUGCUAACACACCACACCUCUAAGUAUGUCGGUAUGUAUGUUUUUCUGUACUCUAUAUCUAGUAAGAUCAUUGUAUUAUAUGUAUUCUAUUUUUGGUCAAACAUUGUCAUAGAUAUGCAGACAGGUAAUUAGUGUUGGAACUAGUCUCAAGAAAAAUUCAGAUGAAACAAUAUGCAGAUGAUGCGGGGGUGCUUGAGCUUUUCUUUUUUGACAUUCCAGGCUGCUUGCACCACAGGAAAGAGUAAUGGCAGUUAUUCUGUCUUUUUGCAUCAGAAGAAUGUUUCUCAUAUUUGCCCCUAACAAGCUUGUCCCAUAAAAAAUGCAGUACAAGCAAACACAGUGCAUACACAGCCAAUAUUUGUCACUAAAAUCAUCAUGUGACUUUAUUAUCCAGAUUAUUCCUCAAAGUUACUUGCCAUGUUUUUAACACAGUAGGAAUAGAAAAAGCACAGGAAAGAAAAUCCAUAGCUUUACAGGUACAUAGUAACUACCAUGGAUGUUUCGAGGACUUGCAUAUGAAUGUAAACUACAGGUAAUUAUUAUCAUUAAUUUUAUGGCAACACUGCCAAAGACACCAAGAUGGGUAUGGAAUCGUUCAUUUAUGCUCAUAUCCAAGUAACAUGUCGAGAAAAUACAAUAUUGCAUGACUGACUAUUACUCUCUAAUAGUGCAUAGAAACAAAAAGAGUAUAAGAAGAGAAAAGAAAUGAGGUGUAGGGAUAUUACCACACCCAAAAGACAGUUUUUUCAACCAUGAAAGAGACUGCACCCUUCUUUCCCUCUUUUUUCUGUUCUAAGGUUCAUCAUUACCUUUAAUAUGCCCAAAACCUCAGAUUAAGUGUCGAAUACUGAUCCUAGUGUGAUGUCAUCUCUGACAUGGGUACUGCUUGGGGGAAGAAGAAUAUAUAAAAGAGACUACCAGGAUUUAGAAAAUGAAAAUAACAUUUGUAAAGGUAUUGAAGUUUCAAAUUGAGAAACAUAACAUUUACCAAGAACAAAAACUAAAAUUUCAGGUGAGCAAGGACCAGAUGAAUGCUGUGAGCAUCUAUGCAUCUAUUCUCUACUUUCACCCUUAACUUCAGUAACAAAUUAGCUGUGUAUCAUUCAUUAAGCAUAUUGUGCCACGUGUAAUGGAUCAUUCAUCUCACCAAUUAGGAUUGUCGUCCAAUUUCAAUCCCAAACACCUUUCCAUAAAUACAUUUAAGUUGCUAUAAGCAUAAAGACGAGGUUAAUGCUGAAUCACUUCUAAGCACAAGCUUUUCCUCCAUAUGCAUCAUCAUUUUAAUUAAAUAAGCAAUGCACCAUCUUUUGUAGAUGAACAGAAAAGAUGCUUUUAAAACCCUACAUGGCUGACAAAUUGGGCUGCACCAAAACUUAAUGCAUAGUAUUGGCUCCAGGUCUAAAUGGAACAUUUUUUUUUAAAAAAAAAACCUAAGAUCAUGUGGAACAUAGCGAUAAAUAAUAUGAUCACUGUGUACAGCAACUCAACAUCCAAUUGUUCUUGAGAAAAAUUUGCCGGACAGAGGUGGUGGUGCAAGUAAGAGGGGAAUUACCUUAACCCACGAUCUAAGUCUAGGCCUUUAGGGAAAACCAAGAGAAAACCUUGAAUAAGGGGCUAAUUUAUCACCAACCCCGAAUUUCUAUGAUAUUACCUAAAAGAAGACAGAGUUUCAUUAAAGAUCAAAAUCACAUCACAAACCCAGAAAGGCUAGAUUUAUAGUAGUCCAACUCCAAAGAAGAGCCUCUAUCUACUUAGUUUUCCAAAUGUUCCUUCCAAAAAUUUAACUUAUGCAAUGAGAUUGAGAACAAAAGAUAACAGCUAUUGAUGACGUAGAGAAGAGAAUGCAGCGAGAAAGAACAGUGGCAUCACUAGAUUUGGGCAUGUACAUUUGGAAAAACUUGAUUUGUUCUUGUUAGCAAAUCUGCAAAAUUUUCCUAAAUUGAUAGGUAGAAGAGAGGAUUGCAGUCAGCAGUGGAAAGGAGAGAGAGCACAUAAUGGAUUUGCUAGCAAGGAGUAAGUAGAGUCAGUGAAGGACAAAGGGGGAGAGGGAGAAAGUGAAAAGAAAUGAUUGAAUAAAUAAUUCUCCUAGAAGGUCACAAAUCAAAUUUGGGAACUGAGCAAAACCCUCCAGUUUGUUAGGGAUCAAGAAUUCCUGGUUUUUGGGGUUCAUCCCAAAAUUUUUGAAGCCCAUAGUUGUUAUCUGUAACGGAUUUAUUUCACUUCCUGAUUCCAAUUUCUCUUAGAUAAAUACUAAGAUCCAAAACCAACAAAUCAAUUAAGCCAUGAACAAUCUUGAACCCAAAAAAAAGAAAAAAACACACAGACAAUGCUAGAAGUAACUUAUAAGACCUAAAACACAGCACCACAACCACUUCCAGUGACUUGAUAUGCACAAAGAAAGUGUGGCCUAUCAGCUUUAUUACCAGGAUCGAUGAAUGAUUUCAGAGGGCACACCUUAACCUGAGGAGAUUUGUUGAUAAAAGUAUCUAAUUUACUCAAUGACCAUUUCCACAAGGGCGGGCAAAUCCUUGAUAAAUAGUUUGCCUUCAUAUUUUCUUUAGAAGGUUAGGCAAUAAGCAAAUCACAUGGUUGGAAAUUCUUGAUGACUUGGAUGCAAUCCAUGGGCUUUAAUUUGACACCUUUUCAAUUUCCAAUUGUAUCUCAACUGUCCUAACUGGCAUAUUGCUUGCUUUUCUCAUGUUUAUUUUUAGGUCACAAUCAUGGAGACAGGAAACCCCAUCUCUAAUUCUUCUGUUAAUAGUAAUGGAGGCUUUCAGUAAACAGCAGCAACUAACAUUGCAGACAACUAUUACAAAAAAGAUUCUAAGCUAGAAGAAUUACAAGUAAACACUGAAAGUUUCAGAUGAAUUUUCCAGUGACACUCAAUCUCUCGUCAGGCAGAUUAAAAGCAGUUUAUUGCCUUGAAAAUUUCGUUUUAUUUCAUGGUUCCAAGUGUUCAAAGAGUAGGGUAAACAAAGAAAUUUGAUCUCUGGAUGAGAGGUUCAUUGCAUAUGGAGAUUUAACACUAAGUUUGGGUUGGGACAUUGGGCCAAAUGUAACAAAGUAUUACGGGGUACAUUCGUGGUAAAUUUCAUUUUCUGGAAGCUGGAACAGAUGAUAGUUACCUAAACAAAGAAACUUACUCCCAGAUUUAUUAGGGAGGAAGAGACAAUAUUUGGCUUUUCUUUUGUGUGUGGGGGGGAAUACACCUUUUAAAAACUUUCGGCCUUCAUAAUGUAAAUACCCCUUAUUUUCAGAGAAAAGAAUUUCUUAUGGGUGGCAUUGCAAGUGGAAGGACAUUUCUGAUAAGUUGGAAGUAUGUCAGGCCAAUUAUAGGGCAGAUUAAUCAUUCUUGUUCUGAGAGUUGCAACUGAUGCUUGGUUACAAAAAGUUACCAAACAAAAUGCUACAUGGAGAAGCCCAACGGCCUGAAAGUUUAAGUUUUAAGAUGAAAACUGCUAUGAAAUGCUCCUUUACAAAAGAAUCGGAGAUUGACAGGAAUCAAGAAUUUCCAAACUUGUCUAUCUAAGAUAAAUCACUACUAUACAAAAAGCCUUUUCUUGGAAAUCAAGUAUGCCAAAGCACAUGAAUUCCAAACCUAUUCUUUAAAACUUUUAAUAGUUUGGGUGCUAUUGAUCAUGUUGCAGAAAUUGAGGCAAGAAUGACCUCUUGCAAAAAAAUAAACAACAGGAACUUACAAGACAAAAUGAAUCGUGUUCAGCAGCUAAUCUAGGACCUAAGGAACUUCAAUCUCAAAUUGCUAGCUCUCCGAGCUUCGUACUUUUAAUUUCAUCCAGUUGAGUAUUCUCAGCAUGAAAAAAAUCUCAGUCCAUAUGCAUUUUUUGUAGUAGCAUUGUAUUUCUCAAUUACAAUCAUGAAGAACAAUGCUAUUGUGUAUCUUUCCACAUGGAUGCAAACAUUCAACACCACAAAACAUUAGAUGGUAACUGUAAAACCUGACAAGUUCAACGCCAACUUUCUAGGUCUGAUCUUUCUUUUCCACAUUUUUUAUCCCUCAAGCUUGUCACCUCAAAAUUUAAGUGUCCAUCAUCACUCAACAGUCACAACCACAACAGCCUAUUUUCACUUUCUUGGUGCUGUAUUUCAGCUUCCAUUGCAGUUUAUAAAGUUGUCCUGAUUGGAGAGAAGGAAAUAGAGCUUUUGGGGGUGUACCAAGACAGUAUGAAUAUGAAAAUUAUACUGCCUUCACCCAAAACUGAAGGCCAUAGUUCGACUAAAGAGAAUAUGAAUAAAAAAAACUGAAUAACAUAAUAGCCCAAAGAGAGUGUGAACAGAAUACAGGAAUUCCAAUACAGAGUUAGCAAAAAACAUGUAGAUGAACCCUUUAAUCAUUUCUGUUAUACACAAAGAGUACAUCAAAUGAAGAAAUAUCAAAGAAAACAACAAUUCUUUUUGGGGAGGCCAAAACAAGAAAUCAGAAUUCGAAACACCAGGGAGUUUAUAAUUCUCCAUACUUUCUUGGAGUAGGCAAUCUUGUGAAUUCAUGGACGUAUAACAAAUAUACUUCCAAAACAGCCUACUUUUCUUGCAAAAAUGAUUGCAACCCAUAAUAGUGGUUCAGUUCUUAUAGGCUUGGUUUACAACCUGGCCAACUAUCAUAGUACUUCUAGGUGGAUAACUAAUCCAGUCAAACUAGGAUACCAGGUCCUGAUUUAAUAUGUAAGGGGAUCCAAUACUGUAUCUUCAUUACAGUUGCUCCAGCAUCAUUUCUUUCUCGUCGAGUCUCAGCCUGACGGCCUACUCAAGGGUUUCCCACCAAUAAUCAACUAAAUUUGGAAAACCAAAACUUCGCUAAAUUUCUAAGCAUUAGCACAUUUAUUCACCAAAAAUUAUUUAGCCCCUCAGACUAGAGGGUACGUUUGCUUAUCUGGGUUGAGGUCUCAGUUUUACCAUCUGCAUCAAAGUUUUGAAAGAGUUCAUAAGUGGCUAAAUCUGCCACCAACCAAUCAGUUAUAGAUCCUGCUGAAAGUAAGAAAAAAGAAAUCAGCAGGAAUGCUGGAAGCAAUAAGAGUGUUGGCUUACCAUAGGAUCAAAUAAUGUCCCAACAGUUGGUACAACAGAUACACCCAAGUUCUUCAUGAUUUCUACAAAUUGCUUGUAUAUGCCCUGAUAACUUGCAUCAAUUUUCUUUUCCUGCUCUGUCUCUAGUUUGAUAUGUUGCUUGGCUCGUUCAAAGUUAUCUACCAUAGGCAAGAGACUCUCAAUCACUUCUCCCUGGGCAUUACUCCUUAUUGUUAGCUUCUCAUUCUCUGUUCUCUUCCUGAAGUUGUCAAAAUCUGCUUGCAAACGAACAUACUUGUCCUUCUGAGCACCAAUUUCAUCUGACAAAACAGAAACCUUUUCUAACAACUCAUUCCUCUCCUUUUCUACCAUGUGUAUUAUCUCUUCAAAAUCGGAUAUACUUUUCUCAUCUCCAUUUAAAAUGGCCUCCUUAUAAGCUGAGAUAGUAGACUCCAAUCUUGAAGGAAGUUCUUGGUCCGCUUCCUCUUCUGUUUUACUGAGAGGAGUCUCAUCUUCAUCAUCAGUCUAUCAUGUAUCACAUUGAUAUUAUUAAGCAUGCAAUGGCAGCUAUAAAAGUACUCAAAAUUUCUACCAUUAUACAGAAAAUUUAUAUGGUUGAUGAAAAAUUACCAUUACUUGUUACCUUUGUAAAUGAACUGAACAUUGCAUGAGAUAAGAACCAAUAAUAGGUUCAAAACAGAGACACUGACAGAGGAAGCGAUCUCUAAACUUUGAAGUAUGAGACACACACUGUAAAGUAUACAGACAUGGUACACUAACUCUCUCUCUCUCUCUCUCUCUCUGUUUUGAUUCAUUGGUGGUGGUGUAAGGGGAACUCAACUUAACCUCGUCCCGUUUUAAUAGUUUUUGAAAAAAGAGACAAACAAAACUUCAUUUUUCAGCAGCAGCCUUGAAGCCAGCAAGAAACACUAUGAAUGAAAUACUUACUUACAAUUCCUGUCAAUAAGUUGAUUUAGUAAUUUCUCUGAAAGCAGACACCUUAAAGCAAAAUUGAUGAAAGAAAAGAUGUAUCUGUUCACUGUAUUUUGACCAAAUUCCAGCAGAUUUGCACAAUUUUUUAGAAUAAAAAAUCAACUAAAAUAACAACAUCUUUGUUCAUGUUUACAUAUCUAUACUUGAAAUUCAGCUUGUAAUUCCCCAAAAUCAAGCCUGCUUACCAAUAACCAAUAUCAAAAUUUAAUAAAUGAAUCUAAGAUACAUAAAGAAUCAAAAUUGGCUUCGACUAAACACACCAAGCCAAGAAAGAACAUCAGCCACAACUUCCAUCACGAGUUAAAAGCAACUAAACAAAAAAAAAAUUACUUCGGAAGCGGAGUCUUCGGAUUGUGACUGAGAAGCUUUAAGAAAUCGGCAUCUCCUGCUGCUGUUGUUAUUGAUUACCGGAAUGUUUGCAUUUUUGGGCAAACAAAAACAAAAGCCUCUGGAGGAAAUGGGUUUCAAGGGAAAAUGGGUUUGGAAAUAAUUUGAAGAAGAUGAAGGAAGGGAUGGGCGAUGAGGAGAAGCAUAUGAACAAAGAUAAGCUGUUGAAGCUGAAGCUGUUGGUGCCGCCGCCAUAGAAGUUUCUAGUAUUAUCACUGAAGAUUGAAAGGGAGGAGUCUGGUAAUUUCACACCAAGCGGAGGAAGAAGAAGGUGGAGUUGGUGUAGGGGUUUUGGGAUAAGAGAAAACGAUGUCGUUAAGUCAGAAAGCCGAAAACGACAAAAAAGAAUAAAAUAAAAACAAAAGGCCCAACUUAGCCUUAUUCUAGAUACAUCUUCACGCGUGUGCUGCAUUUUCUGGUCUCUCACUAGCGCCAAAACAGCUGCAUUUGAGUUGAGUUCAACAGUUGACAACUCGAAUUUUAACUAAAAUAUCGCUGAGUUUUUAGAAACCGAAUCGUGCUAGCUCGAUUUUAGUUUAACUUUUCUUUUUUGCCGUAACUGCACGUUUAACAUAACCUAACCUACUCUUACUUCUACCAGGGGAACCUACUCUAUAAGAUGGCUUAAUUGAGUCAGAAAACCUGACGAGAACUGAACAAUCAUUAAACUAAACGGAUGCACCACACACUCAAUGGAUUUUGAACUCUUAACCUCCCACCCCACAAUAAAUGCGAUGACCAAUUCCUCUUGAGGGAGUUUUAGUUUAACUUGAGUUCAUAAAAAUUCGAGAUCGAGCUAGAUCGAUUUUAGUUUUACUUGAGUUUGAACUUAAGUUAAUUGAGUUUGAUGAAAUCUAAUCAAGUUUAAUGGAGUCUAUUCAAUCUAAUCAAAUUCACCUAAUAAAAUGAUAUUUCGAUAUUUCGCUUGUAUUAUAAACACAUUUUUUAAUUUACUUUUUUCUAUUUUCAACCAUUUUUUUUAUCUCACGUACAUCAUAUCACAAAAAAUGUUACAGUAAUUAUUUCAAAUAAUACUCUAUCUUACAUAUAAUUUUAAACAAAGAAUAUAAUCGAUAUUUUACAAUAAUAAACAUAAAAAAUAAAAAUAAUAUAUAUGUGUGUGUAUGUGGGUGCAUGUGUGUGUGUGUCGGUUAGAUUUGUCAAGCUUACAAGUUUAGAAAUAUAAUACUCAAGCACGAUUUUUAAGUAUUUUGAAGUUGUUUAAACUUGACUCGAGUUUAGUCAAUGUCUAACUCAAGCCGGAUAGUUGAGUUAGUUACUCGCGAAUUUGAGUCUAAUAGCUUGAUCAACUCGCAGUCCUAGUUUACUGAACGACUACUUGACCCGUGAAAGGGAAAAGUGACCCGACCGGUAGUAUUGAUUGAACACAAAUUUGAACUGUAUCCAUCCGUAGUUAUAAAUCAAUAUGGGUGGGUAAGGGUCAAGUAUGCGCUCCAUGCAUCACUUGACCGAUGUCAGGAUAUGAAAUUGUUGAAUUGAGAUUAAUUGGGUAUAUUUCAAUUAAAGGUCAAAACGAUGUCGUUUGGGUUAGUAGUUAGUUAAAGUAGUUACUUAGCAAUUGCAGGUUGUUAAGUUUGUUAUAAGUAGAGGACCCACGCAUGAGAGAUACAGACUUUGUUUUUGGUAAUCAGAUGUAUUUCAAUUCCUCUUUCUAAAUUCUAUUUCUUCCCCAUUCUCUCUGAUUCUCUCCCUCUCUGCAAUCUUCAGCUCAUUUCCCAACUUAAUCCCCAAUCGUAACUCAGAUAUAAACAAUUGCACUUAAGUUCCUGACAAAUUGGUAUCAGAGCAAGAGAUCCUUGGAAAUUACCAUUAGCAAUGGCAGAAGGCACUAGAUUCCGGUCAUUGGAGGAGCAAGUUAAGAAACAAGAAAUCAAGCUGCAGGAAUUGGUAGAAUCUCUCCAUACAUCACAGUCGGAGCAGCAGCAAAUUAAAAAGGAAUUGAAACAGGAACUGGAGGAGAGUAGCAAACGGAUGGAAGGCCUAUUAUUAGGUAUGGAGCAGAAUUUUCUCAAAAUUUUGGAGCAAAAGCUGAACAAUCUUCUGCUAAGGACUCCUAUGAAGGAGAAGACUACUGAAGGGGAUGGAAGAUUGCCAGUAGAUCAGACGCCACUGUUACCAACUCCACCAGCUCACUGCAGGAUACAACCUGAAGGCGAAGCUCAGAAACUCUUCAAGAAGGACUGGAGUAAGUUUCAGAUUCCAAAUCCUCCUAAAAUUGAUUUACAGCUAUUUUCUGGAGAACAUCCUAGGGUUUGGCUGAGGAAAUGUAAUAAAUACUUUUUGAAUUAUCAAGUUCCACACGAGCAUAAAAUUGAAAUCAUUGAAAUGUAUCUGGAUGGCAAGGCUGACAAAUGGUUCCAAGGUGUAAAAAUUGAAAAGCCUAGAUUAGGAUGGGAGGAAUUUGAAGAUAUGUUAUGUAGGAGGUUUAAUGAUAGAUCGUGUAAGGAUAUAGUGGAAGAAUUCAAUAAACUGCAACAAGUAGGCAGUAUCGAGGACUAUCAGGAGAGAUUUGAGGAGCUGAAGCCUUUGAUGAUGAUCAAAAAUAGAAACCUGGAUGAAAACUAUUUUAUUUCCAGUUUCAUAAGUGGACUUAAGGAAGAAAUUAAGCCUGUGGUCAGGAUGCUGAAACCUGCCACACUAUCUGAAGCCUUCGAGCUAUCUCAAUGGCAAGAGCAAGUCAUAAGAAUCCAGAAUAAAAGCUCCAAGGAAAACACCAGGCCAAUGGGAGAAAACAAAUUUGGCAUAACCAGAAGUGCUAACACUUCUGUUGGAACAAAUUCUUACAAGGUCCCUGCCACUAGCAAUUUUAAGCACACUAAGUUUAGGAGUUCACCAGGGGAUACUAAGGAACCAGCAAAGUUGUCUGCUCAGGAGUUGCAGUAUAGGAGGAGUAAUGGAUUGUGUUUCAGGUGCGGAGAGAAGUAUGGAAUGGGACAUCAGUGUAGAGUGGGUCACUCAAAUUGUAUGACACUGGAAGAGGAGGAGGAUUCUGCAUUUGAGGAUGCCCUUGGAGAACAAGAUGAACAGACUGGGAAUCCUGGACAGGCCAUGGAAGUGUCACUGCAUGCUUUAUCUGAGGCUCUUAAGAGAAAAACUAUUACACUCUCUGGAAUCUUAGAUGGGGAGGAAGUACUGAUAUUGGUGGACACUGGGAGCUCAGACAGCUACAUUAGCAGUGAGCUUGUAAUUGGGAUGGACAUAGGCUAUCAGUGGGUGGAUCAACCAUUCUCUGUCAUAAUGGGGAAUGGAUCAUGUGUCACCAGCAAUGCAAUAUGCAAUGGGGUGCAGUGGAGGAUUAAUCAACACAACUUCAGGUAUAACCUCAAGGUAAUGGAACUGGGAGGUUGGGACAUAAUCCUAGGAGUGGACUGGAUGACACACUUCAGUCCCAUCACAUUCGACUUCCAACAACUCAGGAUAUCCCUGCACCAUGAAGGAGAUGAAAUCCAUCUACAUGGCCAAGCCGAUAACUGUGACAUGGAUUUGAUCAGGGGCAAGGACUUAAGAACAUUUAUAGAAUACAAGAAACAGAUGUGUAUGGCUAUGUGUGGCCAAUAGGAAAAAGACAGACAAGGGAAGUCAGAAACCACACCUCAAGAGGUAGAGGCCCUGCUACAGGACUAUAAGGAUGUCUUCCAGACUCCUAGCUCAUUACCCCCAAGUAGGAGCGUAGACCAUGAGAUUCCUCUCAAACAGGAGGCUCAGCCAUUCAAACUUAAGCCUUACAGAUAUCCUCACUGUCACAAGGAGGAGAUAGAGAGACAGGUUACUGAAAUGCUGCAGAAAGGUAUUGUGAAACACAGUAACAGCCCCUUUGCCUCCCCUGUACUACUAGUCAAGAAGAAGGAAGGCACCUGGAGGUUUUGUGUGGACUACAGGAAGCUGAAUGAGAUCACUAUUAAAGACAGAUUUCCAAUACCCAAUGUAGAUGAACUGUUGGAUGAGUUAUCAGGAGCUGUGUUCAAAACCAAGUUAGCAAUGGAGGCUUUCAGUAAACAGCAGCAACUAACAUUGCAGACAACUAUUACAAAAAAGAUUCUAAGCUAGAAGAAUUACAUGUAAACACUGAAAGUUUCAGAUGAAUUUUCCAGUGACACUCAAUCUCUCGUCAAGCUGAUUAAAAGCAGUAUUAUUGCCUUGAAAAUUUCGUUUUAUUUCAUGGUUCCAAGUGUUCAAAGAGUAGCGUAAGCAAAGAAAUUUGAUCUCUGGAUGAGAGGUUCAUUGCAUAUGGAGAUUUAACACUAAGUUUGGGUUGGGACAUUGGGCCAAAUGUAACAAAGUAUUACGGGGUACAUUCGUGGUAAAUUUCAUUUUCUGGAAGCUGGAACAGAUGAUAGUUACCUAAACAAAGAAACUUACUCCCAGAUUUAUUAUGGAGGAAGAGACAAUAUUUGGCUUUUCUUUUGGGUUGGGGGGGGAGGGGGGGGAAUACACCUAUUAAAAACUUUUGGCCUUCAUAAUGUAAAUACCCCUUAUUUUCAGAGAAAAGAAUUUCUUAUGGGUGGCAUUGCAAGUGGAAGGACAUUUCUGAUAAGUUGGAAGUAUGUCAGGCCAAUUAUAGAGAAGAUUAAUCAUUCUUGUUCUGAGAGUUGUAACUGAUGCUUGGUUACAAAAAGUUACCGAACAAAAUGCUACAUGGAGAAGCCCAACGGCCUAAAAGUUUAAGUUUUAAGAUGAAAACUGCUAUGAAAUGCUCCUUUACAAAUGAAUCGGAGAUUGACAGGAAUCAAGAAUUUCCAAACUUGUCUAUCUAAGAUAAAUCACUACUAUACAAAAAGCCUUUUCUUGGAAAUCAAGUAUGCCAAAGCACAUGAAUUCCAAACCUAUUCUUUAAAACUUUUAAUAGUUUGGGUGCUAUUGUUCAUGUUGCAGAAAUUGAGGCAAGAAUGACCUCUUGCAAAAAAAUAAACAAGAGGAACUUACAAGACAAAAUGAAUCGUGUUCAGCAGCUAAUCUAGGACCUAAGGAACUUCAAUCUCAAAUUGCUAGCUCUCCAAGCUUCGUACUUUUAAUUUCAUCCAGUUGAGUAUUCUCAGCAUGAAAAAUAUCUCAGUCCAUAUGCAUUUUUUGUAGUAGCUUUGUAUUUCUCAAUUACAAUCAUGAAGAACAAUGCUAUUGUGUAUCUUUCCACAUGGAUGCAAACAUUCAACACCACAAACCAUCAGAUGGUAACUGUAAAACUUGACAAGUUCAAUGCCAACUUUCUAGGUCUGAUCUUUCUUUUCCACAUUUUUUAUCCCUCAAGCUUGUCACCUCAAAAUUUAAGUGUCCACCAUCACUCAACAAUCACAACCACAACAGCCUAUUUUCACCUUCUUGGUGCUGUAUUUCAGCUUCCAUUGCAGUUUAUAAAGUUGUCCUGAUUGGAGAGAAGGAAAUAGAGCUUUUGGGGGUGUACCAAGACAGUAUGAAUAUGAAAAUUUUACUGCCUUCACCCAAAACUGAAGGCCAUAGUUCGACUAAAGAGAAUAUGAAUAAAAAAACUGAAUAACAUAAUAGCCCAAAGAGAGUGUGAACAGAAUACAGGAAUUCCAAUAGAGUUAGUGAAAAACAUGUAGAUGAACCCUUUAAUCAUUUCUGUUAUACACAAAGGAUACAUCAAAUGAAGAAAUAUCAAAGAAAACAACAAUUCUUUUUGGGGAGGCCAAAACAAGAAAUCAGAAUUCGAAACACCAGGGAGUUUAUAAUUCUCCAUACUUUCUUGGAGUAGGCAAUCUUGUGAAUUCAUGGACGUAUAACAAAUAUACUUCCAAAACAGCCUACUUUUCUUGCAAAAAUGAUUGCAACCCAUAAUAGUGGUUCAGUUCUUAUAGGCUUGGUUUACAUUGUUUUACAACCUGGCCAACUAUCAUAGUACUUCUAGGUGGAUAACUAAUCCAGUCAAACUAGGAUACCAGGUCCUGAUUUAAUAUGUAAGGGGAUCCAAUACUGUAUCUUCAUUACAGUUGCUCCAGCAUCAUUUCUUUCUCGUCGAGUCUCAGCCUGACGGCCUACUCAAGGGUUCCCCACCAAUAAUCAACUAAAUUUGGAAAACCAAAACUUCACUAAAUUUCUAAGCAUUAGCACAUUUAUUCACCAAAAAUUAUUUAGCCCCUCAGACUAGAGGGUACAUUUGCUUAUCUGGGUUGAGGUCUCAGUUUUACCAUCUGCAUCAAAGUUUUGAAAGAGUUCAUAAGUGGCUAAAUCUGCCACCAACCAAUCAGUUAUAGAUCCUGCUGAAAGUAAGAAAAAAGAAAUCAGCAGGAAUGCUGGAAGCAAUAAGAGUGUUGGCUUACCAUAGGAUCAAAUAAUGUCCCAACAGUUGGUACAACAGAUACACCCAAGUUCUUCAUGAUUUCUACAAAUUGCUUGUAUAUGCCCUGAUAACUUGCAUCAAUUUUCUUUUCCUGCUCUGUCUCUAGUUUCAUAUGUUGCUUGGCUCGUUCAAAGUUAUCUACCAUAGGCAAGAGACUCUCAAUCACUUCUCCCUGGGCAUUACUCCUUAUUGUUAGCUUCUCAUUCUCUGUUCUCUUCCUGAAGUUGUCAAAAUCUGCUUGCAAACGAACAUACUUGUCCUUCUGAGCACCAAUUUCAUCUGACAAAACAGAAACCUUUUCUAACAACUCAUUCCUCUCCUUUUCUACCAUGUGUAUUAUCUCUUCAAAAUCGGAUAUACUUUUCUCAUCUCCAUUUAAAAUGGCCUCCUUAUAAGCUGAGAUAGUAGACUCCAAUCUUGAAGGAAGUUCUUGGUCCGCUUCCUCUUCUGUUUUACUGAGAGGAGUCUCAUCUUCAUCAUCAGUCUAUCAUGUAUCACAUUGAUAUUAUUAAGCAUGCAAUGGCAGCUAUAAAAGUACUCAAAAUUUCUACCAUUAUACAGAAAAUUUAUAUGGUUGAUGAAAAAUUACCAUUACUUGUUACCUUUGUAAAUGAACUGAACAUUGCAUGAGAUAAGAACCAAUAAUAGGUUCAAAACAGAGACACUGACAGAGGAAGCGAUCUCUAAACUUUGAAGUAUGAGACACACACUGUAAAGUAUACAGACAUGGUACACUAACUCUCUCUCUCUCUCUCUCUCUCUGUUUUGAUUCAUUGGUGGUGGUGUAAGGGGAACUCAACUUAACCUCGUCCCGUUUUAAUAGUUUUUGAAAAAAGAGACAAACAAAACUUCAUUUUUCAGCAGCAGCCUUGAAGCCAGCAAGAAACACUAUGAAUGAAAUACUUACUUACAAUUCCUGUCAAUAAGUUGAUUUAGUAAUUUCUCUGAAAGCAGACACCUUAAAGCAAAAUUGAUGAAAGAAAAGAUGUAUCUGUUCACUGUAUUUUGACCAAAUUCCAGCAGAUUUGCACAAUUUUUUAGAAUAAAAAAUCAACUAAAAUAACAACAUCUUUGUUCAUGUUUACAUAUCUAUACUUGAAAUUCAGCUUGUAAUUCCCCAAAAUCAAGCCUGCUUACCAAUAACCAAUAUCAAAAUUUAAUAAAUGAAUCUAAGAUACAUAAAGAAUCAAAAUUGGCUUCGACUAAACACACCAAGCCAAGAAAGAACAUCAGCCACAACUUCCAUCACGAGUUAAAAGCAACUAAACAAAAAAAAAAUUACUUCGGAAGCGGAGUCUUCGGAUUGUGACUGAGAAGCUUUAAGAAAUCGGCAUCUCCUGCUGCUGUUGUUAUUGAUUACCGGAAUGUUUGCAUUUUUGGGCAAACAAAAACAAAAGCCUCUGGAGGAAAUGGGUUUCAAGGGAAAAUGGGUUUGGAAAUAAUUUGAAGAAGAUGAAGGAAGGGAUGGGCGAUGAGGAGAAGCAUAUGAACAAAGAUAAGCUGUUGAAGCUGAAGCUGUUGGUGCCGCCGCCAUAGAAGUUUCUAGUAUUAUCACUGAAGAUUGAAAGGGAGGAGUCUGGUAAUUUCACACCAAGCGGAGGAAGAAGAAGGUGGAGUUGGUGUAGGGGUUUUGGGAUAAGAGAAAACGAUGUCGUUAAGUCAGAAAGCCGAAAACGACAAAAAAGAAUAAAAUAAAAACAAAAGGCCCAACUUAGCCUUAUUCUAGAUACAUCUUCACGCGUGUGCUGCAUUUUCUGGUCUCUCACUAGCGCCAAAACAGCUGCAUUUGAGUUGAGUUCAACAGUUGACAACUCGAAUUUUAACUAAAAUAUCGCUGAGUUUUUAGAAACCGAAUCGUGCUAGCUCGAUUUUAGUUUAACUUUUCUUUUUUGCCGUAACUGCACGUUUAACAUAACCUAACCUACUCUUACUUCUACCAGGGGAACCUACUCUAUAAGAUGGCUUAAUUGAGUCAGAAAACCUGACGAGAACUGAACAAUCAUUAAACUAAACGGAUGCACCACACACUCAAUGGAUUUUGAACUCUUAACCUCCCACCCCACAAUAAAUGCGAUGACCAAUUCCUCUUGAGGGAGUUUUAGUUUAACUUGAGUUCAUAAAAAUUCGAGAUCGAGCUAGAUCGAUUUUAGUUUUACUUGAGUUUGAACUUAAGUUAAUUGAGUUUGAUGAAAUCUAAUCAAGUUUAAUGGAGUCUAUUCAAUCUAAUCAAAUUCACCUAAUAAAAUGAUAUUUCGAUAUUUCGCUUGUAUUAUAAACACAUUUUUUAAUUUACUUUUUUCUAUUUUCAACCAUUUUUUUUAUCUCACGUACAUCAUAUCACAAAAAAUGUUACAGUAAUUAUUUCAAAUAAUACUCUAUCUUACAUAUAAUUUUAAACAAAGAAUAUAAUCGAUAUUUUACAAUAAUAAACAUAAAAAAUAAAAAUAAUAUAUAUGUGUGUGUAUGUGGGUGCAUGUGUGUGUGUGUCGGUUAGAUUUGUCAAGCUUACAAGUUUAGAAAUAUAAUACUCAAGCACGAUUUUUAAGUAUUUUGAAGUUGUUUAAACUUGACUCGAGUUUAGUCAAUGUCUAACUCAAGCCGGAUAGUUGAGUUAGUUACUCGCGAAUUUGAGUCUAAUAGCUUGAUCAACUCGCAGUCCUAGUUUACUGAACGACUACUUGACCCGUGAAAGGGAAAAGUGACCCGACCGGUAGUAUUGAUUGAACACAAAUUUGAACUGUAUCCAUCCGUAGUUAUAAAUCAAUAUGGGUGGGUAAGGGUCAAGUAUGCGCUCCAUGCAUCACUUGACCGAUGUCAGGAUAUGAAAUUGUUGAAUUGAGAUUAAUUGGGUAUAUUUCAAUUAAAGGUCAAAACGAUGUCGUUUGGGUUAGUAGUUAGUUAAAGUAGUUACUUAGCAAUUGCAGGUUGUUAAGUUUGUUAUAAGUAGAGGACCCACGCAUGAGAGAUACAGACUUUGUUUUUGGUAAUCAGAUGUAUUUCAAUUCCUCUUUCUAAAUUCUAUUUCUUCCCCAUUCUCUCUGAUUCUCUCCCUCUCUGCAAUCUUCAGCUCAUUUCCCAACUUAAUCCCCAAUCGUAACUCAGAUAUAAACAAUUGCACUUAAGUUCCUGACAAAUUGGUAUCAGAGCAAGAGAUCCUUGGAAAUUACCAUUAGCAAUGGCAGAAGGCACUAGAUUCCGGUCAUUGGAGGAGCAAGUUAAGAAACAAGAAAUCAAGCUGCAGGAAUUGGUAGAAUCUCUCCAUACAUCACAGUCGGAGCAGCAGCAAAUUAAAAAGGAAUUGAAACAGGAACUGGAGGAGAGUAGCAAACGGAUGGAAGGCCUAUUAUUAGGUAUGGAGCAGAAUUUUCUCAAAAUUUUGGAGCAAAAGCUGAACAAUCUUCUGCUAAGGACUCCUAUGAAGGAGAAGACUACUGAAGGGGAUGGAAGAUUGCCAGUAGAUCAGACGCCACUGUUACCAACUCCACCAGCUCACUGCAGGAUACAACCUGAAGGCGAAGCUCAGAAACUCUUCAAGAAGGACUGGAGUAAGUUUCAGAUUCCAAAUCCUCCUAAAAUUGAUUUACAGCUAUUUUCUGGAGAACAUCCUAGGGUUUGGCUGAGGAAAUGUAAUAAAUACUUUUUGAAUUAUCAAGUUCCACACGAGCAUAAAAUUGAAAUCAUUGAAAUGUAUCUGGAUGGCAAGGCUGACAAAUGGUUCCAAGGUGUAAAAAUUGAAAAGCCUAGAUUAGGAUGGGAGGAAUUUGAAGAUAUGUUAUGUAGGAGGUUUAAUGAUAGAUCGUGUAAGGAUAUAGUGGAAGAAUUCAAUAAACUGCAACAAGUAGGCAGUAUCGAGGACUAUCAGGAGAGAUUUGAGGAGCUGAAGCCUUUGAUGAUGAUCAAAAAUAGAAACCUGGAUGAAAACUAUUUUAUUUCCAGUUUCAUAAGUGGACUUAAGGAAGAAAUUAAGCCUGUGGUCAGGAUGCUGAAACCUGCCACACUAUCUGAAGCCUUCGAGCUAUCUCAAUGGCAAGAGCAAGUCAUAAGAAUCCAGAAUAAAAGCUCCAAGGAAAACACCAGGCCAAUGGGAGAAAACAAAUUUGGCAUAACCAGAAGUGCUAACACUUCUGUUGGAACAAAUUCUUACAAGGUCCCUGCCACUAGCAAUUUUAAGCACACUAAGUUUAGGAGUUCACCAGGGGAUACUAAGGAACCAGCAAAGUUGUCUGCUCAGGAGUUGCAGUAUAGGAGGAGUAAUGGAUUGUGUUUCAGGUGCGGAGAGAAGUAUGGAAUGGGACAUCAGUGUAGAGUGGGUCACUCAAAUUGUAUGACACUGGAAGAGGAGGAGGAUUCUGCAUUUGAGGAUGCCCUUGGAGAACAAGAUGAACAGACUGGGAAUCUUGGACAGGCCAUGGAAGUGUCACUGCAUGCUUUAUCUGAGGCUCUUAAGAGAAAAACUAUUACACUCUCUGGAAUCUUAGAUGGGGAGGAAGUACUGAUAUUGGUGGACACUGGGAGCUCAGACAGCUACAUUAGCAGUGAGCUUGUAAUUGGGAUGGACAUAGGCUAUCAGUGGGUGGAUCAACCAUUCUCUGUCAUAAUGGGGAAUGGAUCAUGUGUCACCAGCAAUGCAAUAUGCAAUGGGGUGCAGUGGAGGAUUAAUCAACACAACUUCAGGUAUAACCUCAAGGUAAUGGAACUGGGAGGUUGGGACAUAAUCCUAGGAGUGGACUGGAUGACACACUUCAGUCCCAUCACAUUCGACUUCCAACAACUCAGGAUAUCCCUGCACCAUGAAGGAGAUGAAAUCCAUCUACAUGGCCAAGCCGAUAACUGUGACAUGGAUUUGAUCAGGGGCAAGGACUUAAGAACAUUUAUAGAAUACAAGAAACAGAUGUGUAUGGCUAUGUGUGGCCAACAGGAAAAAGACAGACAAGGGAAGUCAGAAACCACACCUCAAGAGGUAGAGGCCCUGCUACAGGACUAUAAGGAUGUCUUUCAGACUCCUAGCUCAUUACCCCCAAGUAGGAGCGUAGACCAUGAGAUUCCUCUCAAACAGGAGGCUCAGCCAUUCAAACUUAAGCCUUACAGAUAUCCUCACUGUCACAAGGAGGAGAUAGAGAGACAGGUUACUGAAAUGCUGCAGAAAGGUAUUGUGAAACACAGUAACAGCCCCUUUGCCUCCCCUGUACUACUAGUCAAGAAGAAGGAAGGCACCUGGAGGUUUUGUGUGGACUACAGGAAGCUGAAUGAGAUCACUAUUAAAGACAGAUUUCCAAUACCCAAUGUAGAUGAACUGUUGGAUGAGUUAUCAGGAGCUGUGUUCAAAACCAAGUUAGGAAGCUUACAACAAUAACAAAAAAUAAAAUAAUUUUAAAAUGUAAAAAUAUGAAAAUAUGAGCAUUUAUAAAUACAAUAACAAGUAAUUUUGUAGAAAUACAUAACUACUCCUAUUAUUUAGCACAACAAAUGAUGUUUUAACUAUAUAUAUAUAUAUAUGUAUGUAUGUAUAUGUAUGUAUUUCUAGAUACAUAUUUGGUCAUUAGAUCAUUUCUUGAUUUUUAAAAUUUUGACUUAUUUAUAAAUUUUUUUCUAUAAGUAGGAUUUAUAUUACAAACCACACGUAUGAAGAGAUUAUUUUAAUUUUAGUAACACUUAAAUUAUAUCAUGUAUUAAAAAAAUAUUUUCUAAUAAAAUUUCUUGACUUAUAAUUGUCUAACUAAAAUUUUCAAGGUGUUAAUUACUUACCAAAAUCUUUCUAAAUGGUUGAUUUUGACUAGAUUUAAUUUAUCCAUGUUUUUUCCUAUCCCACAACUACCUUGAUACAAAGAAAUAUGGACCAAUAUUGGAUAGUGAUUUGGUUAUUUUUUAUCUAUAAUUUUUGGUUUAAAAAUUUUCGUUUUGUUUGGUUUUUUGUUAAAUAGUGAUUAAGAGUGCAAGGAUAAUAUUGUCAAUUUGUGACUUUUGAUAAGGAUAUUUAGUCUUGUCAAACUGAUAGGGAAGGUAAGUGAAAUUUAAAAACCUUAAGAGAGUUGAGUGAUAUUGUGAAAAACCUCAAGAAAGGUUUUUGAAAUUAUCCCCUAGAUUUGUAGAAACCAUUUAGAGUAAGCGUCAAUUCCAGUUUUGCUCACCAUUGGCUUCACUGCCACAUCCUAUGGUAGUUCAAUAGUAGCUAUAAUUUUAUAGGGUUUUUUUAUCACUUUUUUCUCUUAUUUUUUGUCUCCUAUAAAUAGAAUAUCAAGAAGCAUUGAAAGUAUCAUUAAGAAGGUUACAAACAAUGUAGUUGUUAACUAAAAUAUAUAUAUAUUUAUUUAAAAAUCUAGUGUAGGAUUAGUGUAGAAUUUAUUUGUUUUUGCAAUUAAAAUUUGGGAAAGAGUUGAAAAUUCAAUGAAAUGGAGCUUUUCUUCGGUAUUUUGGCAUUAGAACUUCUUUCCUUUACUCUUUAUUUCUUGGUAUUCGAAUUCAAUGUUUAGUUUUAAAGUAAAUUUGUGUUUCUUUUCAUUUUAUUAUGAGUUACUAAAUUUUAUUCACUAGGGUUAGGAUGAAGUUUCUUCUUUGUUAGAUGAAUUCAACCUGGUUAGUUUUACUAUAGUUUGUAUAAGCUAUUAAUACAUUUGUUUUUAUAAUUACAGUGAACAAACCAUUAUUUGUAAUCGAUUGUAAUUCCUAGUUUGUAAAAGCACUAAAUCGAAGUUGUAGACUCAUGAAAAUAAAUACACAUUUGUGGCUCAAAACAGGCAAUUUCACGAAAGCUAAUGAACUUGUAGCAAGUUUUAUACCACGAAAGUAUGGAGUUGUAUAAUAGAUAUGUGGGUACACUAGCAAAAGUAGAUAUCUCAUACGUUAAGAGAUUAUGUCAUUGUUUAGCCAACAAAUGAAAACUCAAUUUGGCAGUUUAUUGUUAUUUUUUCUACCAUUUUUUAUAUGUUUUGUAAUUUAGAUUAAUUUACUCGCUAUUAUCAUCAGUCUAAUUAAUAGAAGAGUUACAUCAAUGAAUUGAUUAAUUUUUCUUGUUAGAUCGACACUCAAAUUCUCUUGCUAACUUGUGUACUUGUAGAAGAAAAAGUCAAGUUUAAAUAAACUUUAUACCAAGUUUCUGGCAUGUAUUGCCAGGAAAGAAGCCAAUCAAUGUCAAUAUUAAGCACAUAUUUUAUUAGUUUAGACACUUUAAUUCUUGUUUCUAGUGUUUUAAAUAUCUAGGAUAGUGUGUUAUCGGUUUCAUUUCGUGUUUUUAAUUAAUUUUAUUUGCAAUACUUAGUUACUAUCUAUUUUCUUGACUAAUUGUGCUUUUGAAAUAGAAUUAAAGAAAAUUUUAGGAGUUGAAGGAAGAUAUUUCAAGAAAAGCAGAAAAGUUAUGAGAGAAGGAAGAUCAAUACUACUUCUAAUGCACCAAUAGAAGAGAUAACCAAAGAAGUGCUCCGAGUAUACUUGAUUCAGAUGAAAUUAUAUUAUUAAAAACUAAAUUGGACAAUUUGAUGCGCAUGAUUGAACAAAAUUGGAAAGUAAUGUCCUUUCAAAUUAUAGAACUUCUACUUUAUGUGGUGGAUAGCAUGCUACUUAUGAAUGUAUGCAAGUAUAAUAUAUGGAUCAUUUUGAUGAAUUUCAGUAAUAUAAUUCCCAUUUUAGUCAAAGUAAUCUUGGUUGCAUGAAAUAUUUUAAUUUUGAAUUAAGGAAUCAAUGUAACUAUGGUGAAUCUAUUACUUUCCCUAUUUUCUAAUUGGAAUUUGUGCAAAAUGAAUCUACAUUAUCUUAGGAGUUAGCCAUUAAACAGCUAGCAAAUGUGACUUCUAAACACUUUGAGAAAUGCAACAAUAAUUAGAUAGAAUUGAAUAAAGGAUAAAUCAAAUCACUUUGAACCUCAAAGUAAUGGUUGAACUAUUAGAUAAGUUAAUGAAUGCUAUACAUGAAGUUAAUUCACCUAGUAAAAUUAAAAUCAACUGCAGAUGGAAUAGUAAAGUUGUCACAUAGGAAAGUGAAUUGCACUUUGAAGAAAUGAUGAACAUAAUUGAAACUAUAAUGAGAACAUUUUCGCUUCACUAGAUAAUGUCUUGGAAGUUGGACCUUGAACAUCAAUAGAUAACUAUUAACAAUUAUUUUUAAACCUAAGUUCAAAAGACAUCAUCAAUCAAGCUAAACCUAUUGGAUUUUUUUAGUGAGUUCUCAUGUAAUACACAAAAGAGAUACUGUCAAAGAAACACUUGAAAGAGGUAAAACACUUCCGCCUCUCUCACUAUUUGAUUAUAUGGCUCUUAAAAUUAAACCACCUUUUGAGCUACUGAGGUGGAUAAAUAUUCUUCCUUUCAACUUAAUGGCUAUAUAUUAUGUAAGAAAUAAUCCAUUCAUGGUAGAUAGAAGUGGAUUGGAGUUGCUUUUUGUUGCCUUACCAUGACUUAAAAUAGUGAAUUAUUCCUUCAAGAAAUCUCCUUGAAAUAUGGAAGUAUAGUCAAGUUAAUAACUAGAAAGAAGCACAUGUUAGGAGCCACCUAAUAUUAUUUCCAUUUCAUUUCCAUAGCUUUUGCUUUAGUUACUUUUUUUUUUGGGUGUGUAAUAAUUGGGUUAUGGUACUUUGAUAUCUUGUCAUUUAUUUUGAUGCCUCUUUAAUGAAUUUGCCAAGUUUGUCUAUCUUCAUUUGUGUAAGAGCAAGUUGAAUGUUCAUCAUAGGAUAACAAUCAAACUUUACCACAUUAAUGCUGACUCAUGUUAACAUAUAGUGGGAGUAUCUCAUGCUAAUUUGUUUCAUGUCUAUCUGUGUUAAAGAUAAUUUGAAACUUAGGAGUGAAGAACGUGUUUUGAGUUGAAACUUGAUACUUUCCUAUUUGUUGAUAUGAGCUCAUGAGCAGGACAUCUUGAGAUUGUGAUUGUGUGAUAGGUUAUAAUUUGUUACUACAUUUAUAAUUAUUUUUCCCUUUGAUUUUAGCCAAAUAUUAUAUUAAUUGACGAAUUCUACUUAUAUUUGGUUAAUGGUGCUAAUUGUAGGAAAAUAAUCAAAACAUGAUUAAAAGGGACAAUUUCCAGCUAAUUUAGUAGUGGCACAUUCAAGUUCAGAAGAUUUAGGAUUAGAAGUUUCCAAGUCCGAGUAGAAGUCAACAAGAGCACGAGGUUGAAGAUUGGGAGAAUUUCUUUAAUAGUUAUUUUUAUAUUUUUAGGAAACGAUUCACAUUAUCUUCAGCAACUUUUCCUUUUCAAUUAGGAGAUUUCCUAGCUUGAUUGGUGCGGAUGAAGAGCAAAGUGGAGUCAAAGUGGGGCUCUUUCCUCUAGUCUUCAUAUGGCCGUAUAAGACAAGGAAACAAUUAAAAGAAAAAGGAAGUAGACUUAGCUUAGGAGAUUGAUUCCUUUCUUUUAGCGGGUUGGCCUUGUUGUUUUUCUUGGUCCGUCUCUUCUAUUAGUACGACGGAGAACAUAGCUUUGUUUGCGGGAAUGACUUCUGCAAUUUUGCAUGGAAUUUCCUCCAUGAAGAUGAAAUAACUUCUUUUUCUAGUCAAGGGUUAAUUUGAAGACGCGGUUUCAAAUAUCUAUGAGAUCGAAUUAUUUUACUUAUUUCUUUUAUUCAUUAGUAUUCGUACGUUUUCUAGUUUAAUUGCUUAUGAUUGUUUUGUUAUUUGAAUAUCAAGGGCCCGAUAUUUGAAUUAACCUAAUAAUCUACUGUCAUAUUAAUUGAUUGAAUCCGUAAUUAUUCAGUUGGUUAAUACCAGUGGUGACUAAUGUGAUUGGUUUCAUGUUAGGGAAACGUAUGAUCUAACUUAAACAGACUCUCGUAGCGUGUUUGUUGGUUUGGUUUAGAUUUUUCUAAUUCUUAUUGCAAUCGAGAAAUUAAAUCCUAUGGUCGUACUUAGGGUUGUCUCUUGGUUAGAGAAAUAGUCAACGGUCUUACCUUGACUAUCAAACAAGUAAGGAAAUGCUGGUUGUUUAUCGCGUGUAUGACAACUAUAACCAAUCUAUUAAUGAGUAAUUGAAUUAUCUCUGCAUCGAUGAUCAGUUGAAUGGACCGUAUCUGAAAAGUUACACAUUUGACUAGAGUCAUAUUGGUUGUUGAUUAAUUCCUGUUUAUUUCUAUUAGUUAUUUUAUUAGUUGGUUAAUUAGUCAUUUUAUAUUUUUCAAAAAUCCCCCAUCUCUGGACUCUAAAAGAAAUAAGUUAUCCCCAAUCUCUGUGGAUUCGACCCUACUCACCGCUAUAUACAAAAUUUAUAUUUUUCUCGAGAAGGUAUUUAUUAUUGUACAGGCUCGACAGCCUAUCAUUGUGUGAACUUAAAAUUUUUUUUAUUUUGAGAAUGGUACUGUAUUAUAAAGUUUGUCAUGCCGAGAUUUCUUUGAGUUAAUGAAAUCUAUUGUUCAUAUUAUAUUUAUGUGAGUUGGGACUAGAAUAAUUGAUGAAUACAAGACUUUUUUUAGUGAUUGUCUCUUUUGUUCUAGGUUUUUUUUCCAAGGAUUAAGUAAAGUAGUUUUCUCUUUUGCAAGAGAAAAAAAGGAAGAAAAAGAAAUAAAAUGUGUGUUUCAAUAAAGAGCAUUCUUAUAAAAGUACUUAGUCACCAGCGAUUUUCAUCUAUUAAUGUCGACUUUGAUAUAAAAUAGUAAAAUUGAAGGUAUGUAAAGCAACUAGAGUUUGUAAUUUGAUUGGGUAAUUGAGGGCAUUUAUCCACUAAUGUUUACUUUCACGUCAAAAUACAGGUUCAUUACUUAAGUACGAUUUAACAAGAAAAGAAAAGAAAGGAUGAAAAGUGAAAAAAGCAGGAAUUUUCUCCGAGUUUUCUAACCUUGUUUGUAUUAGUUAUAAGGUGUGGUUUCAAAUUAAGUUUUUACAUUUGUUGAUUAUAAUAGUUACAUGAGAAGCAUAAUUAGAUUAAAGAUAAUAUAUGAUAUAGAUUUGAUCAAAUAUUAAGAUGAUAAACUUUUCUUUAUUUGAUAUUAUAAAGUACUAAAAUUAGAAUUUAAAGUUUGAAUGAUGAUUAUCUUUGAUGUAGAACGAGGACCCCGUGGGCUUAGGCAUCCAUCAUCCCCAUCUUAAGAAAUUAUUUAGAGUCGAAUUUAGGAUAAAUGUUAUAAUAUAGUUUUAUUCAUAGUUUACCUAUUUUAAAUGCGGAUUUUAUUAUUAUUAUUGCCUGUCAUCAGGAUGCGUGAUAGUUGGCCAAAAGAAAAUUGUUUCGAGGCAUUAUUAUUGAAGAUUUGCAGACGGAUUCUCAGUAGAGCCUCGUGGAUCUAUCCGUAAGUCAUUUUCGGAAACUAAUUCCAAUGAUGUCGGGCGCCGAACAUUGGGUCGGACAUUGUCCGGGCUUUGGGGGCGGUUGAACACAACUCCAGUUCAUUUAGAGUUUUUCUUGUGUUUUUUGUUUCCUUGUUGGGGUAGGACAUUUUAACCUAUAAAUAGGCAUACCUAGGAUUUUUGUAAUAUGAAUUUUCUCUUAUUAAUCAAAUAUUGGUUGGUUUUAUCCAAUUGUUGAGAAUUUCCUUUUGUCUCUUUCGAAUAUUUGAUUUGUGUCUUGGAGUUUGAUCGUGAAUCGAUCGCCCUUGUUCUUUUCUAUAAAUUUCGUUCAUGAAUCAAAUUCUAUUUUUACGCUUCUGCUAUCGCAUCAAUCGCUUUCAUGCCUUAAACAUGAGUUUGAAUAUGUUGACACUUCAAUACUUUUAUUUGUUUACUUUGGUUUGUUUUUCUUUUCUUGCCUGCAAAAUAGGAAAUGAUUCAAGUGUCACAUUACUUGUUUAGUGAGGAUAACAUAUGUGCUUUGGUAUAUAUUUGUGGCUGUUUUAGUGUCAUUUUAGCUGAUAAAAUAUCGAGCCAAGUUUUUGGUUGAUUUACCAUCUGGAAUGUUGAGUAAAAAAAACACUUCUAUUGGUUUAGUUUCUGAGAUCUUAUAUAUUGAAGUGCUGUGGGAAGUCAAAACACAUUGGAAUGAAGAUUGAAAAAUCUUUGCAUGUUUAUGUGAAGAAUUUGAUGUGCUUUUAAUUAGACACGAAGUGAAACCAAGAAGAAAUGAAGCAAAAUUAAGAACGAACAAGAAAAGAGGCAAUAAAAGGAAGUCCACGGUUUAGCCGGCUAGAAAAAAGACUACACUAGCUUGACUGCCUGGCUGCAACUAGAUUCUUCAAGCUUGCAGAAACCAGCCAGAGUCGGCGUCGGUACCAGUUUUGCUCAUCAUCAUCGGCUUCCCGGCCAGUUUCUAUGGCGGUUAAGGUUUCUUCCUAGCGUUUUCCUCAAAUUUUCUCCUAAUUUUGGUGAAAUUGAAAUUUUUCCACACUAUCUAUAGCAACUUUGAAUUGAAUUGUGAACCAUAUCUUGAGAAUAUUUAUUUAAACCUACUUUUGGCCAGUAGAUGAAACCUAUGAUUUACCAUUACAUAGAGAGAAUUCUAACCUGCAUAUGAGAUACAUGUUUACUCUGCAAUCUAUUUAAACCCUUAUAAGAAGUUAUCAUCAUGUAUGAAUUUCUGACCUAUAAACGUGAACUUGUCUUCAAUUUUUUCAGCUAGAAAUCAUCAACAGCUUGUCAUUUUUGCUUCUUACAAACUUAAUAGAAUUUCCAAGCUCUCGAUAUGAUGCCUGGUUGUUUGUGUGACAAUUACUUACAUUUUCCUCUGUUCAUUUAUAGUCGCCUUAACCAAAAUUUGCUUGGCAAGUUUCCCUUGAUUCCAAAAUCAUGGAGUCUUCCCCUUCUUCCACUAUUUCCAUUUAUUACUAAAAGUUUUUUUUUCUUUUUUUUUUGUCAUAACGGCAUAUCUAGCAUAGUCUAAUCCACUUCUACUCUUGGGGGAACCUAUUCUACGGGGUGGCUCAACUGAAUUGGGGAAACCUGACGGGAACUGAACUACUAUCAGACCAGACGGGUGCAUCACACACCCGUAUAGAUUUAGAACAAAUCUCAUAUUGAGACACAUUGAUGGGAGGCAAGAUUUGAACCCUUAGACUAUCCACUCCAUAAUUAAUGUGGUGGCCAACUCCUCUAGAGGGAGUUGGUUUUAGGUCAAUUUAUUACUAAAAGUUUGUUUUAGGUCAAUUUGCAGCAUCUAUACUAUCCUAAUCUAUAAAGAAGGAAAAUCUAAUUGAGUUGUAUAGGGAUUAUAUAGAAGACAGACCAAUCUAGACCAAAAAGGCAAUCUGGCACAUCCUUUAAAUUUUUUAACUAAAAGGGUGCGAAGCUUGAACCUCCAAUCUACGACCCAAAAUGGGAUUUUUAAUCCAAAUUGACGUAUACCAAGCUGCCUGCGGCACCUGUUGCAAAAUCAGCCAUAUCUAUCCUUCCUACCAUUAGUUACAUAAAAAGGUUCAGGUAGACAGAUUCCAUGUUUAAACAGUAAAGCAAACAGAUGUGAUAAUGAAUAUGUUGUGCUACCAUGGACCAUUGCAGUCUGUCAGGAAUAGGUCGCAUAAACUAUUGCAGUUUGUCACUGAUAGACAUUAGACCCUAUAUCAGACACUAGGAAUUAAUUAAUCAGGGAGGCCUUAUUGCAAAUCGCUUAGAGACUUUAUCCUCUGCAGUCUUGUCUAAAAGCGGUACACUGAGGAAGGAAGCGACAGCACCUCUCACCAGUAAAAUCUUGAGGUCACAAGUUCGAGUCUCCGUUUCGCUGGAUUUCUCCGCGCACUUAACGUGUUCGGGCCGGAUUAGGGCGCCGGGCCCGGACCGCAGAGAAUUAGUCAGACCCCGUAAGGAUUGACCCAAACACCCCUGUGUUGACCAAAAAAAAAAAAAAAAAAAAGGAAGGAAGCUUAGCUAGGAACCUCUGUACAUUUACCCUUUGCAAAGCUUUCGGACAAGGUAAAUUUAUUUGCACGGUUAGUCUACCUUUACCCACUCUUGCUUUCGUCUCUUUCCAAACUCGAUGGAAAGGCCUGCCAUUAGCUGCUUGAAAGCGGCAGCUUAUUCUGUGCUCCACCAAAAUAUAUUUUCAGGUGUCCUUCUUUUUCUUUUUUAUUUUUUAUUUUUUGGUCAUCUAAAUUAGCUUUUUAGACUUGAAAAGACCAAUUCACAAUGAAAGUUCAUUUAAAUAACAUUAAACAAAAAAGUUAAAACUCUAAAAUCCAUAUUAAACUAAAUCCGCAAGUAGCAAAAAUAAAAAAUAUGAUUGCAUGUUUUCCAGCUCAACACUAGUACAGUGAAAGGGCCUCAAUCGCUACUAUUGUAGAAGGCUCACAUGCUUCAAAGCGGUUAAGGUUUCACAUUUCCUCUUCCUUUAAAUUUUUAAAGAGAAUGUUCCAUGGGGAAAUUCAGGUUCGUCGUCUUUUUGCAGAAACAUCAUGUAGCAAGACCUGUAUUGAGAGAAAUAGAUCUCAGCUUGAAAAAAUGUCGAUUAUAGCAGUGGAGGAAUCAAGGGUUCAUGAAGGUUGAUUGGAAAGACAUUCUCCAGGGGGAUUUAUCCUGUUGAUUGUUCGCUGAACUCUAUUUCCUCAACUCCAGCAGUAGCAGGUUGCUCUGACUGCUCGGAUGCCGCUGAAGAGGGUUGCCUU
rnacentral:lncRNA from 1 species